AGUGAACGCUGGCGGUAGGCCUAACACAUGCAAGUCGAACGGCAGCACAGUAAGAGCUUGCUCUUACGGUGGCGAGUGGCGGACGGGUGAGGAAUACAUCGGAAUCUACUUUUUCGUGGGGGAUAACGUAGGGAAACUUACGCUAAUACCGCAUACGACCUACGGGUGAAAGCAGGGGAUCUUCGGACCUUGCGCGAUUGAAUGAGCCGAUGUCGGAUUAGCUAGUUGGCGGGGUAAAGGCCCACCAAGGCGACGAUCCGUAGCUGGUCUGAGAGGAUGAUCAGCCACACUGGAACUGAGACACGGUCCAGACUCCUACGGGAGGCAGCAGUGGGGAAUAUUGGACAAUGGGCGCAAGCCUGAUCCAGCCAUACCGCAUGGGUGAAGAAGGCCUUCGGGUUGUAAAGCCCUUUUGUUGGGAAAGAAAAGCAGCAGGUUAAUACCCCGCUGUUCUGACGGUACCCAAAGAAUAAGCACCGGCUAACUUCGUG
rnacentral:rRNA from 1 species